AUUGAACGCUGGCGGCAUGCUUUACACAUGCAAGUCGAACGGCAGCACGGGCUUCGGCCUGGUGGCGAGUGGCGAACGGGUGAGUAAUGCAUCGGAAUGUACCGUGUAGUGGGGGAUAACGUAGCGAAAGUUACGCUAAUACCGCAUACGCCCCGAGGGGGAAAGUGGGGGACCGCAAGGCCUCACGCUAUAUGAGCGGCCGAUGUCGGAUUAGCUAGUUGGUAGGGUAAAGGCCUACCAAGGCGACGAUCCGUAGCGGGUCUGAGAGGAUGAUCAGCCACACUGGGACUGAGACACGGCCCAGACUCCUACGGGAGGCAGCAGUGGGGAAUAUUGGACAAUGGGCGCAAGCCUGAUCCAGCCAUGCCGCGUGAGUGAAGAAGGCCUUCGGGUUGUAAAGCUCUUUCAGACGGAAAGAAAUCUCCCAGGAUAAUACCUUGGGAGGAUGACGGUACCGUAAGAAGAAGCACCGGCUAACUACGUGCCAGCAGCCGCGGUAA
rnacentral:rRNA from 1 species